GGCUGAUGCUUCAAGUACUUCUCUUUUUUGUGGACUACCUGGUCAUGAAACAAAUUUCAUAGUCCUCAAUUAGGUUUAUGAAUUAACUUCUUCUGCUAGCAGGGUUCUUUCUUUGCCAAGUCAAAGGUCACAGAACAUGCCUAAACUGAUGUGAUUCCUUUGUCCUCAGGAGGGCAAAGCACCUUGAUUGACAGUCCUAUAAAAUUGCCUGCAAUGUAUGAGAAGAACUUCCAAGUAAAAUGAACACCUGUUAUCAGAAGAGGCAAGAAUGGAUGCUGGGAAUGCAAUGUAACCAAACAAUGAAAAAUUCUGCCAUGGAUGUAACUGACUUGGUUCUCAAGUCAGCUAUGUUUCCUAAGCAACUCAUACAAUAAGAAAUCUUCCCAAAUCUCCAUCUUCUCAGAGAAGCGCUGGGGGAAAAUAGCUGCCGUCCUGUGUACGCACACACUCCAGGAAAGGCGAAGGGUUCUUCUGAUGCUGAGACAAUGGGAGGCUGACAUUCAUGCUUUCAUGUUUCUCCAUGAGGUGGAAUUCAGGUACUUAGAGGCUGUCAUUGGGAACAUAGCCCUCGUCCUGGAGUCUCAGUCUGACAGAGCCCUAGGCAGCAGGGGGUGGAGGAAGGAGAGAGAGAAGGAGGAGAGAUUGAAGUCAGCUUUACUGACCCUAACUAAACAUUUCAUUUCCUUGACUCUUUCAACCAGAGGAAUUGAAGACUUGCUGGUGGAUCUCAUUAUGAUGUCUGGAUCUACCCUGGAACAGCAGACAAAACUUUCUGAUGCCAAUUAUUUCUCCAUACUUCUCAGUAUCACCCACUCUGAAAUCAAUAUCACUGUGCUCCAUUUAUUCAUAAGUAGGCUUCCUACAGGUCACCUCCAAGUACUUUGAUUACAUUCACAUUUCUUUAAAAAAUUUUAUAUCAUAGAAAUCUUUGUAGCAAUAUCCAAAAUUCAUUUUUCACACCUUCAAUCACAGAGACAUUCAUACAUAUUGAACACAGAAUAAAAAUUUACAAGACAGAAUAACCUUAAUUUCGACACAGUUUGAAAUUCUUUGUUGUUAUAAUGAAGACAUUUUUGCUUGCUGCAGGUAAGCUAUCAGGAAAAGAAAGUCGCUUUUAUUGAAUUCACAUUUUACAAAAACCUAACCUAUCUAAUUCCAUGUAAGAAAAAAAAAUCCUUCAAUGGGGUCAGAUUCAAGAGUGGUUAUAUUUCGCUUGGUUGCACAUUAUUAUGUGAAUAAAAGCAUGUAUUUGCAUUUUAUUUUCUUACUUUAAUGGUAUGAUAUUUAUAACAGUGUAUCAUAAAUCAGCGAAGACUUGCAUUUUUAUUGAGUCUGCCUAUUUACAAAGUUUUCUGUGGAAUACAGUUCCAUAUGUGGUCUAGGACUCAUUAAUCCUCAAGAUGUAUACACCCCACUUUCUCUGUGGACAUGUACACAAAUGUUAGCUAACUCUAUGCAGCAUUCUUUUCUUAGGGUUUGAAUAUCUUUUUUUGAUGUGCAGACAUAAUCCUACUCUCUCCUUAUUCCCAUACUUGCCCCAAAGCUUUAUGGAAGCUGUGAAAAAGUCAGUAAGGAAUAAUGGAAAAACACAAUUGAUUAUAUAUUUUAGUGCCAUCUCCACCACACACACACACACACACCCACACACACACACUAUACCUAAAAGCAAGGCCAUUAUUAUUCUGUUCUUAACACAGGCCAACAUGCAUAAAAUGUGCACUGACAGUAAGGAAGCCUGCCAGCACUCCCUCUGGCACCAUCUGGUGACCUUCUCUAGCCAGACCAGAGAAUACUUACAGAAAUAUCAAGUUAGGAUUUUGUUGAUUUUCUUGCCUGUUGGCCACCAAUGGCAACCUAAAAUGUGAGGUAGACACCUCUAUGGAGUCCUCUGCCCAAGGAGCAUAAAAAUUUAUUCUGUUUCCUUAUUCCCUCAAUGUCUGCCACAUAGCCUAGCCUAUCUUUCAAGCCUCAUUUCAAAUAUUGUUUCCUCCAUAAAAACACUUCCUGAUCUCCCAGAGCAAAUUUGAGGAUUCUGAAGGUGCUUAAUAUAAAUUGCAAUGUAAAUAAGAAUUAAUAUUAAGGAGGACUUGGAAAGAUUUAUGAGAUUAGAAAGGGCACUUCACCCAGAGGGAAUCAGGGAAGAUUUUCUGGGUCAGUGUCAUCUAAACUACCAUUUCAAAGAUGAAAAGAGUUAGGUAGCCUCACAGCAACCAAACAAGAAAUAAAACGAAUUCAGUUUGGUAGGGAAGAGGUAAAACUGUCAUUAUAUGAAGAUAAUAAGAUAUCCUAUAUAGAAAACCUAAAAGACUCCAUACAAAAACUAUUAGAACUGAUGAAGGAAUUCAGCAAGGUAUUAGGAUACAAGAUUGACAUACAGAAAUUUGUUGCAUUUCUUUACACUAACAAUAAAGUAUCAGAAAGUAAAUGUAAACAAACAAUCCCUUCUAAAACUGCAUCAAAAAAUAAAAUACUUAAGAACAAACCUCACCAAGGAGAGGAAAGACUUAUAUGCCAAGAACUAUGAAACAUUAAUAAAGGAAAUUGAAGAUGAUUAAAGAAGUGGAAAAAUAUCCCAUGCUCUUGGAUUUGAAGAAUUAAUAUUGCUAAAAUGACCAUACCACCCAAAGCAAUCUACAGAUUCAAUGUUAUCCCUAUUAAAUUACCCAUGACAUUUUUCAUAUAACAAUAAAUCUUAAAAUUUAUACGGAACCACAAAAGACCCAGAAUUGCGAAAGCAAUUCUUAGGAAAAAGGACAAAGCAGGACAUGUAACUGCCCCCUUCCCACCACCACCACUGUCCUGACCUCAGAGAAUACUACAAAGCUACAGCAAUCAAAACAGCAUGGUAUUGACACAAAAUCAGACAUGUAGAUCAAUAGAAAGAACAGAGAUCCUAGAAAUAAACCCACACACCUAUGGACAAUUAAUCUUUGACAAAGGAGGCAAAAAUAUGCAAUGGAAAAAAGACAGACUCUUCAGUAAGUGGUGUUGGAAAAGAGUAGAGCCACAUGUAAAUGAAUGAACUUAGAACACAUCCUCACACCAGCCACAAAAAUAAAUUCAAAAUGGCUUAAAGGUUUAAAUAUAAGACAUGAUACCAUGAAACUCCUAGAAGAGAACAUAAGCAAAAUAUUUUGACACAAAACACACCAAUGUUUUGUUAAUCAGUCUCUCAAGAUGAUAGAAAUAAGAAGCAAAAAUAAGCAAAUAUGACCUAAUCAAACUUAUAAGCUUUUGCACAGCAAAGUCAACCAUAAACAAAACAAAAAGACAAGUUAUGGACUAGAAGAAAACAUUUGUAAAUAAUGUAAUCAACUAGGGCUUAGUUUCCAAAAUAUACAAACAGCUCAUACAACUCAAAAACCGAAAACAAAAAACCUAAUUGAAAAUGGACAGAAGACCCAAACAGACAUUUCUCCACAAUGAGGU
rnacentral:lncRNA from 9 species